rnacentral:rRNA from 1 species
UACGUAGGUGGCAAGCGUUGUCCGGAUUUACUGGGCGUAAAGCGCUCGCAGGUGGUCCGUCGCGUCGUGCGUGAAAGACCCCGGCUCAACUGGGGAGGGUCGUGCGAUACGGGCGGACUGGAGGCCAGUAGGGGGAUGCGGAAUUCCGGGUGUAGUGGUGGAAUGCGUAGAGAUCCGGAGGAACACCAGCGGCGAAGGCGGCAUCCUGGACUGGUCCUGACACUCAGGAGCGAAAGCGUGGGGAGCGAUCCGG